CAUAAAGUGUUUUGAUCAAUCCAAUGACACUUACUUUUGUAAUGUCGUUUAUUGAAGGUGGCAGAAUAUUUUGUCACUUACUUAAAAAUUAAUACAUCAAACGAAAUUAAGGCGAAAAAAUCCAUCAAAACAGCUUGACUCCUCUUUGCUGGAGUUCCUCACCCAAGUCAAUGACAUAAGUCCUUGGUUUUGCUCACUUUUGGAAUCAGAGGGGGCAGCCUUCGGGUGUGACUGGGAGGUGUUUGAUCAGGAAAAAAAGGAAAAAAAAAAAUAUGGAAAAGCAGAAUGUUGCCAAGAAGGGGUGGGAUUUGGGGUGGAGGCCAGAAAAAAAAUAGGAAAGUUCCUUCAUGCACUUGAAGAAACAUUUAUUUCUGCCUCCCUCAGGCCAGGGCCUCUUCUAUUGACGUCUUCUCCGGAGGGGUAAUCCCGUCGACAAAUGUCAGAUUCUGAUUAUCUGAGGAACUUGAGUCGCCCUCGCUUCCGACCCUCUCUCCCCUGAACUGCCUUGAAGCGGGGGAGAUAGGCUGGAAAGGGGAGGAAGGGAGAGGCGAAGGCCGCCUCGCAGAGCACAUCUGCUGUGUUCAGCCGGAGCGUCUGUCAAGCAGUGGGAGGGAAAAGCGCAUGAAGCCAC
rnacentral:lncRNA from 1 species